UAAACGACUCUCGGCAACGGAUAUCUCGGCUCUCGCAUCGAUGAAGAACGUAGCGAAAUGCGAUACUUGGUGUGAAUUGAAGAAUCCCGCGAACCAUCGAGUCUUUGAACACAAGUUGCGCCCGAAGCCACUAGGUUGAGGGCACGUCUGCCUGGGCGUCUCAC
rnacentral:rRNA from 1 species